AGAGUUUGAUCAUGGCUCAGGACGAACGCUGGCGGCGUGCUUAACACAUGCAAGUCGAACGAGGUCUUCGGACCUAGUGGCGAACGGGUGAGUAACACGUGAGGAACGUGCCCCAGAGACCGGGAUAAGCCGAGGAAACUUGGUCUAAUACCGGAUGUCCCCAUCGGAUCGCAUGGUCUGAUGAGGAAAUGGAUCCCGCUCUGGGAGCGCCUCGCGGCCUAUCAGCUAGUUGGUGGGGUAACGGCCCACCAAGGCAUCGACGGGUAGCUGGUCUGAGAGGAUGAUCAGCCACACUGGGACUGAGACACGGCCCAGACUCCUACGGGAGGCAGCAGUGGGGAAUCUUGCGCAAUGGGCGAAAGCCUGACGCAGCAACACCGCGUGCGGGAUGACGGCCCUCGGGUUGUAAACCGCUUUCAGCAGGAACGAUGAUGACGGUACCUGCAGAAGAAGCUCCGGCCAACUACGUGCCAGCAGCCGCGGUAAUACGUAGGGAGCAAGCGUUGUCCGGAUUUAUUGGGCGUAAAGAGCUCGCAGGCGGUUCGGUAAGUCGGGUGUGAAAACUCUGGGCUCAACCCGGAGAGGCCACUCGAUACUGCUGUGACUUGAGUCUGGUAGAGGAGCACGGAAUUCCUGGUGUAGCGGUGAAAUGCACAGAUAUCAGGAGGAACACCGGUGGCGAAGGCGGUGCUCUGGGCAGUACUGACGCUGAGGAGCGAAAAGCGUGGGAGCGACAGGAUAGAUAACCCUUGGUAGUCCACGCCGUAAACGUUGGGCACUAGGUGUGGGGACGUACAUCCUCCGUGCCG
rnacentral:rRNA from 1 species